UUAGACAGCUAACAAAUACUUCCAGCUUAUUAAUUCCUGCUGGUUUCAAGGGGCCGUCAAAAUUCUUCUCUGCGAUCGUUAAAUAAAUCUUCGUACAAAGAUAUUAAGUCAACUAUUGUUCUUCAUUUGUUUCAACUAAAUUCCUUUUACAUGUGAAGAUCGCUGUCGGGCCGGAAAUUAAAUACAGAACCACCAUCUCCGAUCAAUGUAUUCCAGUCUGUUUUUUGUGUACAUACGGUUGUUCAAGGAUGUUGAGCCGAUGUGGUCCAACAAUUAGCUGGCCAUGAAAUUAAUAUGGAGACAGGGCCAGCUGAUGCGCUAGCCAGCCACAUCUCUAAUGUCAUGGUUUUACAAAUUAAUCAUGUUUUGUCCUUAGAUUUGAAAUACACUUAUAAAUUAGUCCUUCAUGUUUAAAAUACAUAUGAGCGUUGGUUUUUUCUUAAGAUUUCCAAUUGUAAAACUCUUUCAAAAAAGAAUUAUUGUUUCCAGUUUGAUUUCAAAACCAUGAAACCCGAAAAAACAACUGCUCUCUCCUUGAUAAUAUAAUUAUCAGCAAGAAUCGAAGAGACUAAGUUAUAACCUGAUCCUUUCAAUAGAUCUCAAGUUUGUUUUUCUGUCUCUCUUUUUGAUAUAAGAUGAUGAGGUUAUUGCUUCAUGUCAUUGGCUGCAGAUUCUGUGUGCUUAUUCUUCCAUGGGCUGUGAGAAGCAACUUGAUUUAUUUCUUGGUUGCAGAAAGGUUAUUGGCAAGGUUUCAAGGGUGGUGAUAAUAGGGACAAGAGCUUGAUCUUCAGAGUGAAAAGGACUGUGAAAAAGCUUGCAAGAACUGAGCUGGAGGUCUUUCUCGUCGGAGAGGUUUCUUGAGAGUCAAGACCUGACUUUAAGGUGAAAGGUUUCCCCUUCCAAAGAUCAUGCACGAUCUAUCGAGGCGAUUCCAUUUUAGCGCAGCUCACCAGCUAUGGAUUAUGGCCUAAAUUCAGCUUAAUCUCGUUUUGGAAGUUCCUUCAUUUUUCCAACUGGGAAGUUGAUAUCGGGAUUCUAAUAUCACGUUUGAUUUGAUGCUAUACAAGCUUCGCCAGACUUAUGCCCGGCGGAGUAAAUUUUGUUAACCAUAUUUCCUGGAUCUGUAUGUCAUUGCUUGAUAGUAUCUUCGAUUAUAAUUUUCUUAUAUGGACAGUAACAAGAAUUUACAUUUGUACAUCGUUCCAUACUCACGGGAAUGCAUUUGUUAUUUCUUUGCA